rnacentral:rRNA from 1 species
AUGAAACCCAAUAAAGCCCCUGGUCCUGAUAAUAUCCCUAUAGAAUUCUUCCAACAUUGUUGGGAGAUUGUUAAAAAUGAGGUGAUGUUGUUAUUUGAAUGGUUCCACGAUAAUAAACUUGAUGUGCAAAUAUUAAACUAUGGGAUUAUUACCCUUCUCCCUAAGAUGGUUGGGGCCAACAAGAUACAACAAUUCUGUCCUAUUUGCUUGCUUCGGUGCAUAUAUAAACUGAUUACUAAGGUGCUUACCAUUAGGCUAGAACCAUUUGUGGAUAUCUUGUUUAGUAGACAUCAAAAUGCUUUCAUAAAAAAAGGGAUAUUAUGGAUGGGAUUAUGUCUUUACAUGAAGUUUUACAUCAUUCCUAUGCUGAAAAAAACAGGGAUUGUACUCAAACUUGACUUUGAGAAGGCGUACGAUAAAGUGAACUAG